AUUUUGAUGGCAGAUUAGGAGGCGAUAGAUUGUAAAUCUUUUCAUGGUCAUUGUAGACCUCUAGAUU
rnacentral:tRNA from 1 species